rnacentral:rRNA from 1 species
GACGAACGCUGGCGGCGUGCUUAACACAUGCAAGUCGAACGGAAAGGCCCUGCUUUUGUGGGGUGCUCGAGUGGCGAACGGGUGAGUAACACGUGAGUAACCUGCCCUUGACUUUGGGAUAACUUCAGGAAACUGGGGCUAAUACCGGAUAGGAGCUCCUGCUGCAUGGUGGGGGUUGGAAAGUUUCGGCGGUUGGGGAUGGACUCGCGGCUUAUCAGCUUGUUGGUGGGGUAGUGGCUUACCAAGGCUUUGACGGGUAGCCGGCCUGAGAGGGUGACCGGCCACAUUAGGACUGGGAUGCGGCCCGGACUCCUACGGGAGGCAGCGGUGGGGAAUAUUGCAGAGGGGGCGGAAGCCUGAUGCAGCAACGCCGCGUGCGGGAUGACGGCCUUCGGGUUGUAAACCGCUUUCGCCUGUGACGAAGCGUGAGUGACGGUAAUGGGUAAAGAAGCACCGGCUAACUACGUG